GAAUAUUGCACAAUGAGCGAAAGCUUGAUGCAGCGACGCCGCGUGAGGGAUGACGGCCUUCGGGUUGUAAACCUCUUUCAGCUCUGACGAAGCUGCCUGGUUUUCUGGGUGGUGACGGUAGGGGUAGAAGAAGCGCCGGCCAACUACGUGCCAGCAGCCGCGGUAAGACGUAGGGCGCAAGCGUUGUCCGGAUUUAGUGGGCGUAAAGAGCUCGGAGGCGGCCUGUCGCGUCAACCGUGAAAUCCCGCGGCUUAACUGUGGGCGUGCGGUUGAUACGGGUGGGCUGGAGUUCGGUAGGGGAGACUGGAAUUCCUGGUGUAGCGGUGAAAUGCGCAGAUAUCAGGAGGAACACCGGUGGCGAAGGCGGGUCUCUGGGCCGAUACUGACGCUGAGGAGCGAAAGCGUGGGGAGCGAAC
rnacentral:rRNA from 1 species